rnacentral:rRNA from 1 species
UCGGAGGCGCCCAAAGGUUCCCUCAGAAUGGACGGAAACCAUUCGAAGAGUGCAAAGGCAGAAGGGAGCUUGACUGCGACACCGACGGGUGGAGCAGGUACGAAAGUAGGGCUUAGUGAUCCGGUGGUAUUAAGUGGGAAUGCCAUCGCUCAACGGAUAAAAGCUACCCUGGGGAUAACAGGCUUAUCACUCCCAAGAGUUCACAUCGACGGAGUGGUUUGGCACCUCGAUGUCGGCUCAUCGCAUCCUGGGGCUGUAGUAGGUCCCAAGGGUUGGGCUGUUCGCCCAUUAAAGCGGUACGCGAGCUGGGUUCAGAACGUCGUGAGACAGUUCGGUCCCUAUCCGGCGUGGGCGUAGGAUAUCUGAGAGGAGCUGUCCUUAGUACGAGAGGACCGGGAUGGACGGACCGCUGGUGGACCGGUUGGCUUGCCAAAGCCAUGGCCGGGUAGCCAAGUCCGGAAGGGAUAAACGCUGAAGGCAUCUAAGCGUGAAGCCCCCCUCAAGAUGAGAUAUCCCAUUCUUAUGAAGUAAACCCCCUUGAAGACGACGAGGUAGAUAGGGCAGAGGUGGAAGUGUGGUAACACAUGGAGCUGACUGUUACUAAUCGGGUGAGGGCUUGACCAA